AUUGAACGCUAACGGCGUGCUUAACACAUGCAAGUCGAGCGGCAGCACAGUAGUAGCAAUACUAUGGGUGGCGAGCGGCGGACGGGUGAGUAAUACAUAGGAAUCUGCCUUAUAGUGGGGGAUAACCCGGGGAAACUCGGGCUAAUACCGCAUAAUCUCUACGGAGAAAAGUAUGGGACCUUCGGGCUAUAUGCUAAAAGAUGAGCCUAUGUUGGAUUAGCUAGUUGGUAGGGUAAAGGCCUACCAAGGCAACGAUCCAUAGCUGGUCUGAGAGGAUGAUCAGCCCAACUGGGACUGAGACACGGCCCAGACUCCUACGGGAGGCAGCAGUGGGGAAUAUUGGACAAUGGGCGCAAGCCUGAUCCAGCAACGCCGUGUGUGUGAAGAAGGCCUUAGGGUUGUAAAGCACUUUUAGUGGGGAAGAAAAGUUCAUGGCUAAUAUCCAUGAAUGCUGACGUUACCCACAGAAAAAGCACUGGCUAACUCUGUGCCAGCAGCAGCCGCCG
rnacentral:rRNA from 1 species